AUGGGUGAGUAACACGUGGGGUACCUGCCCCAUAGUCUGGGAUACCACUUGGAAACAGGUGCUAAUACCGGAUAAGAAAGCAGAUCGCAUGAUCAGCUUUUAAAAGGCGGCGUAAGCUGUCGCUAUGGGAUGGCCCCGCGGGGCAUUAGCUAGUUGGUAAGGUAAAGGCUUACCAAGGCGAUGAUGCAUAGCCGAGUUGAGAGACUGAUCGGCCACAUUGGGACUGAGACACGGCCCAAACUCCUACGGGAGGCAGCAGUAGGGAAUCUUCCACAAUGGACGCAAGUCUGAUGGAGCAACGCCGCGUGAGUGAAGAAGGUUUUCGGAUCGUAAAGCUCUGUUGUUGGUGAAGAAGGAUAGAGGUAGUAACUGGCCUUUAUUUGACGGUAAUCAACCAGAAAGUCACGGCUAACUACGUGCCAGCAGCCGCGGUAAUACGUAGGUGGCAAGCGUUGUCCGGAUUUAUUGGGCGUAAAGCGAGCGCAGGCGGAAGAAUAAGUCUGAUGUGAAAGCCCUCGGCUUAACCGAGGAACUGCAUCGGAAACUGUUUUUCUUGAGUGCAGAAGAGGAGAGUGGAACUCCAUGUGUAGCGGUGGAAUGCGUAGAUAUAUGGAAGAACACCAGUGGCGAAGGCGGCUCUCUGGUCUGCAAACUGACGCUGAGGCUCGAAAGCAUGGGUAGCGAACAGGAU
rnacentral:rRNA from 1 species